CCAUGUCCAUUGGGAAUGUGAUUUUUUUCCCCUCUCGGCUGUGCUGACAAAACUUUUCAGUGUAAACCACGCCUAGGUACGAAAUGGGAGACAAGAGGUGUCCGGAGAAACGGGAGAGCACAAGACAAUGCGGAGAGACUGCCCAUCAGCCAGUCGCACAGCGCAGCACACAGGAAGCUUUGCAAAGGCGAUUGGGUUGCUUUAGGUUUCAACAGAGCAACGUUGGGUCAUGGCAACCCUUUUUUCACCCUCACAGAGGAGCCCACCGUGAGCAAGAGAGCAGGGGAUGCGGUAGGGACGUGGUGCGACUCUGCCUGGCAUCAGGUUCUGAUUCUGGAUUUGGAUUCACAUGAUGAACUCUUCAAGGCUCCAACCACAGAUCUGAUGGCAGGAUCAAGGUCCUGAACUCUAAAUAACUGAGUUAGCAAUUGUGACAUCUUCUGCAUGCAAUGCAGCAAACCCAAUUGGAAGAAAGAAACAAGGAGAGGAGAACCCAAAUUAGAUGCAUCUGGCUCCUUCAAAGCAUACUGAAUUUCAUUAAGCAUGAGGCAGCCAAAGGAGCUUCUUAUAGUGUUUUAACCAGAGGACUCAGCUAUUUGAGACAGACAUGCAAUGCCCUAUUAUUUCUUCUCAAACAUCUACCAUAAGUAUCUGAAUGUCAGUAACUGUUAAAGCUGCUGCUACAAUAUCACCUGCCUUCCUAUGGUUAGACAUGUGUGUAACUAGAUCAGAAUAUUAAAGAGAGACUUACUUUUAUGAACAAUUUACAACAGAACCCCAUGACUUCCACAAGUGAUCUUUCAGUAGCACCAAUCUGACAGUCUAGUGCAGUGGUGCAUGUUCAGGCAGUUUUGACAAAUGUUCUUAAACAGUUACUGAUAGUAAUACCAGACAUUAAAAUGAAACCGAGGGCAAGGAUUGUAGUACUCAGACCUUUUGUUGCCUGUUUCCCAAAUAAGCUCCAACACAGUUCUUGGAACUGGCAGAGCUGCUGGCUAACCACACUGCUUCCUAUAGGUUCAGGCAGCAAAGGAUUUCUUGGUAAAUGGAUUUUCAGACCCCUGUGACCCCCAACUCACAGACGUGUCCAAAGAAACGAUCUGGCCUUUAACUGAUGCUUUAGAAAAAGUAUCAGAAGCAUGCCUUUCAACUUCAGGGUUAAGACUAAUCUUCAUGCCCUAAGGGUCAGAUCCCAUAGUCCUCACUCAGGUGGCACAAUGUGACACCAACCCAGCAUGUUAUUCUGCAUGGGAAGUGGCAUGGAGCCUCACUGGUUAGUAGGUUUCACAUAGGCCAGAGGAAUCUACCUACACAAAACGCUUGGAUUAUCAGAGGCUAUGUGUCUUCAUGAGAAGCAUGGCAGGAUGGCUGGAUAAAGAAGGACCUAUGCAAACAGUGAACCUUAUUCUGUCUUGCAUGGAAGAGAGUGGAGUGACGUCUGAACCAGCUUUAAAAUGAUUUUUUCAUCCUGCUUUAAUUUUGCUUUUCCUAAUCUCUCACCAUGUUAUUUUAGGACAGCAUUUCCCAAACUGUGGGUUGUGCAAAAGUUUUGGGUGGAGAGGGAGGAGACAUGCAAAUCAUGGUAGGAAGUGGUGGUACCACCCACCACUUCAACCACUCCAGUGCCCCUCUCUCUCCUUCAGCUGCCGCCACCAUUGCUUCCUCCUGCCACUGGUGAGGGCAGUUGGCAGCAAUCAAGUAGUGAUGACAAAGCAGGGAGGCACAAGAUUUACCAGCUUCAC